GGAGUUAGCCGGUGCUUCUUCUGUGAGUGAUGUCCUUCCUGCCGGCUAUUAACCCGCAGGCCUUCUUCCUCACUGAAAGUGCUUUACAACCCGAAGGCCUUCUUCACACACGCGGCAUGGCUGGAUCAGGGUUGCCCCCAUUGUCCAAUAUUCCCCACUGCUGCCUCCCGUAGGAGUCUGGGCCGUGUCUCAGUCCCAGUGUGGCUGAUCAUCCUCUCAGACCAGCUACGGAUCGUCGCCUUGGUGAGCCGUUACCUCACCAACCAGCUAAUCCGACAUAGGCUCAUCCGAUAGCGCGAGGCCCGAAGGUCCCCCGCUUUCCCCCGUAGGGCGUAUGCGGUAUUAUCCUGGGUUUCCCCAGGUUAUCCCCCACUACCGGGCAGAUUCCUAUGCAUUACUCACCCGUCCGCCGCUCGCCACCAGGGAGCAAGCUCCCCGUGCUGCCGCUCGACUUGCAUGUGUUAGGCCUGCCGCCAGCGUUCAAUCUGAGCCAGGAUCAAACUCUGA
rnacentral:rRNA from 1 species